rnacentral:rRNA from 1 species
GAGGCCCUGUCUGCCCAGUGACUAAGUUUAACGGCCGCGGUAUUUUGACCGUGCAAAGGUAGCGCAAUCACUUGUUUUUUAAAUAGAGACCUGUAUGAAUGGUGAAACGAGGGCUUAACUGUCUCCCCCCUCCAAUCAGUGAAAUUGAUCUACCCGUGCAGAAGCGGGUAUUUUCUACAAGACGAGAAGACCCUAUGGAGCUUAAGACAAAUAAUCAUCUGUGUUAAAAACCCCUAAUUAAAGGACCACAACAAAAUCAGCCAUUGAUUAUAGUCUUCGGUUGGGGCGACCACGGAGGAAAAAAAAUCCCCAUGAGGAAUAAAACAUUCUUUCAAAUCUACGAGGCACACCUCUAAGCCACAGAACUUCUGACCCAUAGAUCCGGCACAAGCCGAUCAACGGACCAAGUUACCCUAGGGAUAACAGCGCAAUCCUCUCCAAGAGUCCAUAUUGACAAGAGGGUUUACGACCUCGAUGUUGGAUCAGGACAUCCUGAUGGUGCAGCCGCUAUUAAGGG